UAUUUAGGAAAUUUAGAAACUAGAAGCCCUAGUUUUCUUCGUCUCUCACAUCUAAUCUCCCUGCCUCGGUGCCUCCUCCUGCGUCCUCCCUGUCUCUCUCGACUCUCUCUCUCCCCUCUCGACUCCGCCGCCGGCGCCGCUGCCCCGCGCCGGCCCAUCGACGCCCACCCUUGUCGCUACGUCGCGCCGCUGCCGCCCACCCUCGUCUCCCUCUUAAUCUCCUCUCUCUCUGACUUAAAUGCACGCACACCACACCGCGCCUGAAAUCCUAGAUCUAUAAUCUACAGCCACCUCCCUGCCGAUUCCCGUCGACCGCACGGCGGGAAGGCCGCCGCCUCCGAGCGCAGCCCAAAGCCCCCUCUUCUCUCCAUACUCCGGCGACAACAGCGGCUCCUUGCCGCCGCCGUGCCCUAGCUUCAAUCCGCCGCUGAACUCCCUCUUCCGGCCGCACCACCUGUCCGACCACCACAGCACCAGCCCAGCCGCCUUCGUCGCAGCGCAACACCACCGCGACCCACUCCAGAACUGUUGCCCCCCACCAUCUACACAAGGUGGCUUUGUGCGCCACCCAUCGUUCCUAUCAUGAACGCCGAGGAAGAGCCACCAGUCGGCGCGAUUUACACCAUACCAGCAGCGCCAAACACCUCCUGCCACCGUCUCCCGCCGCCCAGUCACCUUCGCCCUUUUCCUGUCACCACCGUCAGUUUCCAGACACUGCCGCGCGGCCCCAGCUCCAAUCUCAACCCCGCUGUCUGCCGGAGCGAGCCCUGCCCUCCUCCACCGUUCAGGGAAGUUUAUUUCUUCAUUUUUGUGUUGUUCCAAUCAGGACUUGAUUUUUUGCUAAAUUAGGGCUCAAAUCUAGAAAGAGGCUUCCCCAAAUUGAUCUAUAAAAGGAUUUGAACAUAUUGACGCUAUUAAGUCCAGAUUUUUAGAUAUAUUACACUAUUAAAGACUAAGAGAUGAACUAAUUCGAUGCUAUAUGGGAUAAAUGAAAUUUUCUUGCUACAAACACUGGAAAAGUAAUAGUGACAGAUUCUGUAUGUUUAUCAAUGUGGAUUGUUGCUGGUUAAUAGUUUAGAAGUAUAAUCAUCUUCCUUAUAGGAGAUUGUAGUGAUUGCUUUUACAGUGUGAAGUUUUUUAUUUGACCUGCCUCUCGAGGUAAAUCAUACUUGUUCUACUCUACUAUCUAUUCAUUUUGAAACUGUUGAUGAAUUAAGGUUUGAUUCUAUAAGAAUUUGAUGCACAUUGCUGCUACUUUAUUUGGAUUUCCAUUAGACACAUACAUCAAAGCAAGUUUCAAACUAUCAAAAUGUUGUUAGGCAAAUACUAAUAAUUUGUGCGUACAAGGUAAUGUGAUAGAAUCAUAGAAUGAGACGUAACUUAAAACAUAAAUCUUAUGGUAAUUGUGUGACUAGGCAUGCCAGUAAUUUCCCUAAAUGUAGCCUGGAUACACCUAAAGCUCAAUGGUUGGUUGAUCGUGCAUUGAUAACUCAUAUUGAUUUAAAGUUGUGAUGCAUCUAAGAAGAUGGAAAAAUUGGAAUAGGACACUCAAAAGAAUCUUAGAAUAUGGGAUUUGAAUGUGUAGCUGUUGUGAAAGUCUUAGCUUUGAGUGUGUCUGUCUCUCUUGAUUCUCACACGAGGAAUAUUAUAAGACAUGAUUGGAUAUGCUUACCAUCUUCCUCUGUAUUGUUGCAGACAAAAAUACAAUGUGAAGUUCUUGUAGAUACACAGAACCAAACAGUUACUCGUCAAAGUUGCUACCCUGAGGUGCUAAACCGGAUUGCUGGACUGGACAGGAAAUCAUGAUUUCCUAAUAGUUUUGAAUAAGUGAAUUUGGGCAUUCUUGAGGUGAACUCGCUCGUGUUGGUGCAGGUUCAUUAUUGUGAUUGAGUUUAUCAUCUUGGCGGAUCAAGUAGAUGGGAGUCGAUGAGCUAUGAGGACUACUACAAACGAGAAGGUUGAAGCAGAGAACGUCGUUUCAAAUGUCUAGCAAAUUGCGCGCAUUUGUAAUAUUUUUUAAUUAAACAUCUAGCUAAAUAGAAUAUAUGUGAAGUUUUCAUUAUAUUUGGAUGAUAAUGUAUGAAUAUUUUGGAUGAUAUAUAAUAUUGUUAUUGUUGAUUUUA